rnacentral:rRNA from 1 species
GUCGAACGAGAAAGCGGGGGCAACCUCGCAAGUACAGUGGCGUACGGGUGAGUAACACGUGGGUAAUCUACCUCUUAGUGGGGAAUAACGCUGGGAAACCGGCGCUAAUACCGCAUAAGCUCGAGAGAGGAAAGCAGCAAUGCGCUGAGAGAGGAGCCCGCGGCCGAUUAGCCAGUUGGUAGGGUAACGGCCUACCAAAGCGAAGAUCGGUAGCCGGCCUGAGAGGGCACACGGCCACACUGGCACUGAAACACGGGCCAGACUCCUACGGGAGGCAGCAGUGGGGAAUCUUGCACAAUGGGGGAAACCCUGAUGCAGCGACGCCGCGUGAGCGAUGAAGCCCUUCGGGGUGUAAAGCUCUUUCGGCAGGGAAGAUGAUGACGGUACCUGCAGAAGCAGCUGCGGCUAACUACGUGCCAGCAGCCGCGGUAAUACGUAGGCAGCAAGCGUUGUUCGGAGUUACUGGGCGUAAAGGGUGUGUAGGCGGUUUGGUAAGUCUGGUGUGAAAUCUCCCGGCUCAACUGGGAGGGUGCGCCGGAAACUGCCGGACUCGAGUGCGGGAGAGGAGAGUGGAAUUCCUGGUGUAGCGGUGAAAUGCGUAGAUAUCAGGAGGAACACCGGUGGGUGUAGACGGCUCUCUGGACCGUAACUGACGCUGAAACACGAAAGCGUGGGUAGCAAACAGGAUUAGAUACCCUGGUAGUCCACGCCCUAAACGAUGCAUAUUUUGGUGUGGGUCAUUCAGUUGAUCCGUGCCGGAGCUAACGCGUUAAAUAUGCCGCCUGGGGAGUA